rnacentral:rRNA from 1 species
UACGUAGGGGGCUAGCGUUGUCCGGAUUUAUUGGGCGUAAAGAGCGUGUAGGCGGCCAUGUAGGUCCGGUGUGAAAACUCGAGGCUUAACCUCGAGAUGUCAUCGGAAACCAUUUGGCUAGAGUCCGGAAGAGGCGAGUGGAAUUCCCGGUGUAGCGGUGAAAUGCGCAGAUAUCGGGAGGAACACCAAUGGCGAAGGCAGCUCGCUGGGACGUGACUGACGCUGAGACGCGAAAGCGUGGGGAGCAAACAGGG